GCAACUCUGGUUCAGUGGCGGACGGGUGCGUAACACGUGAGGAACAUGACUUUCGGUGGGGGAUAGCCGGCCCAACGGCCGGGUAAUACCGCGUACGACCUCUUGGGGACAUCCCCGAGUGGUGAAAGCAGCAAUGCGCCGAAAGAGUGCCUCGCGGCCUAUCAGCUAGUUGGUGGGGUAAUGGCUCACCAAGGCGACGACGGGUAGCUGGUCUGAGAGGAUGGCCAGCCACAUUGGGACUGAGACACGGCCCAGACUCCUACGGGAGGCAGCAGUGGGGAAUAUUGCGCAAUGGGCGAAAGCCUGACGCAGCGACGCCGCGUGUGGGAUGACGGCCUUCGGG
rnacentral:rRNA from 1 species